UACGGGGGGGGCAAGCGUUGUUCGGAAUUACUGGGCGUAAAGGGCUCGUAGGCGGCCAACUAAGUCAGACGUGAAAUCCCCAGGCUCAACCUGGGAACUGCGUCUGAUACUGGAUGGCUUGAAUCCGGGAGAGGGAUGCAGAAUUCCAGGUGUAGCGGUGAAAUGCGUAGAUAUCUGGAGGAAUACCGGUGGCGAAGGCGGCAUCCUGGACCGGCACUGACGCUGAGGCGCGAAAGCUAGGGGAGCAAACGGG
rnacentral:rRNA from 1 species